GGGCGCAUAGCUCAGUUGGUUAGAGCAACCGGUUUACAUCCGGUAGGUCCGCGGUUCGAGUCCGUGUGCGCCCA
rnacentral:tRNA from 1 species